rnacentral:rRNA from 1 species
AUUGGGCGUAGAGGGCUCGCAGGCGGUUUCUUAAGUCUGAUGUGAAAGCCCCCGGCUCAACCGGGGAGGGUCAUUGGAAACUGGGGAACUUGAGUGCAGAAGAGGAGAGUGGAAUUCCACGUGUAGCGGUGAAAUGCGUAGAGAUGUGGAGGAACACCAGUGGCGAAGGCGACUCUCUGGUCUGUAACUGACGCUGAGGAGCGAAAGCGUGGGGAGCGAACAGGAUUAGAUACCCUGGUAGUCCACGCCGUAAACGAUGAGUGCUAAGUGUUAGGGGGUUUCCGCCCCUUAGUGCUGCAGCUAACGCAUUAAGCACUCCGCCUGGGGAGUACGGUCGCAAGACUGAAACUCAAAGGAAUUGACGGGGGCCCGCACAAGCGGUGGAGCAUGUGGUUUAAUUCGAAGCAACGCGAAGAACCUUACCAGGUCUUGACAUCCUCUGACGAUCCUAGAGAUAGGACGUCCCCUUCGGGGGCAGAGUGACAGGUGGUGCAUGGUUGUCGUCAGCUCGUGUCGUGAGAUGUUGGGUUAAGUCCCGCAACGAGCGCAACCCUUGAUCUUAGUUGCCAGCAUUCAGUUGGGCACUCUAAGGUGACUGCCGGUGACAAACCGGAGGAAGGUGGGGAUGACGUCAAAUCAUCAUGCCCCUUAUGACCUGGGCUACACACGUGCUACAAUGGACAGAACAAAGGGCAGCGAAACCGCGGAGUUAAGCCAAUCCCACAAAUCUGUUCUCAGUUCGGAUCGCAGUCUGCAACUCGACUGCGUGAAGCUGGAAUCGCUAGUAAUCGCGG